CUAAUCUCCGUUUAGUUGUGGGGACGUUUCGAGAGGCAAUUUGAUGGCGAUGUUUCAACAUUUCAGAGCUCACUGCUCUAAAACCUUCACUAUUUGGAGAAAAAUCCUGGAAUGUUUUCCUCUAAAACCUUAAUUUCUUUGCGACUGAAAACAGAAAGGCAUAAACAUCUUGGAUGACAUGGGGAGUCAGCGAUAGGUGGGCUUGACGUACUCGGGUGGGAAAAAGCCCACAAGGCCACGACAACAACCUUUCCAGCGCUGAGAAUCAGAGCAGUCCAGCAGUUCUAUGACAUCACCCCGCAGGAAGUGCAGCUGGGAGUCGUGCUCUGGAUUGAAGUCAAACAGGGCUUGUGCUUCAUGGGGCCUCUGAUGGGAAACAAUAACAGACAAAGUCCUUUCCCUUGCUAUGCUGUUGGUCUUGUAGAAGUCCACCAGCUGGUUUAAGGAAGGAAAGAUCUCCUCCCAAACAUAGUAAUAGCCAUCUCUGUCCUUUAACACCUUGAAAUGCU